ACAAACAGAGGAAUGUGACCAUAUUUUAUAAUGUCAGACCGAGAUUUGUCUGACUUUAGCGCCAUUGUUUAAUUUAAUGUAGACCUAACACUCAUCUGUCAAAAAGCCUUAGCCAAUAUGCAUAAGUCUACACUUGUUAAGAUUUUUUCCGAACGGAUGGACUUUUCUACAUGGCUUACAAUAAAAUCUUACUAUGAUUAGAUACCUCAACUUUUUGGUUUUUAUGCACAUAAGCCUUGGUAUCUUAUAUGAGUAUGUUGUUCAUGAUGAUUAUAUAGGAUACCACAUCACUUUUUGAAUGGAAAAACUCUGACGGUGAUAUGG
rnacentral:lncRNA from 1 species